UUCCCACUCGCCCAAUAAUUGGUCAAAUAUCUUGAUCGGCAAGAAACAUUUUCCAUCUUGGCCGCACGUACAGAACAGGUAUCGUGAAAAUUCAACACGGUCGCCAAAAAAGUCAAUUCUUUUAUUCAUAAUCUGCACAAGACAUCAGCGUCGCCGAUCACUGGCUGGAUUAUUCUCGCCAAGAGUAACCUGUGAGGGUCGAGAGGUGGCGGCUUUCUUUGUCUCGUUUGGGAGAUGUUUCCUUGAAGUUUCUGUGCAACUUGGGGCGGGUCUCUGUUGUUAUCGUCUUUCCCGUUCCGCUGCCAUGUGAGAGAGAGGAUAUAACUCAAGAAUCAAACUUUCACAUUAGUCAAUAGAUUACAGUUUGUCCUUUCAGCACCGUAUAUUCUCUUGCUUUCUCGAGGGCAAGAUUUUGCAAAGCUGACACCCGAAAAUUUGGACUGUUGAUUGCAAGGAGAGAGAGA